rnacentral:rRNA from 1 species
UACAGAGGGUGCAAGCGUUAAUCGGAAUUGCUGGGCGUAAAGCGUGCGUAGUCGGUUAUUUAAGUCGGAUGUGAAAUCCCCGGGCUCAACCUGGGAAUUGCAUUCGAUACUGGAUAGCUAGAGUUCGGCAGAGGGAAGCGGAAUUUCGGGUGUAGCGGUGAAAUGCGUAGAUAUCCGAAGGAACAUCAGUGGCGAAAGCGGCUUCCUGGACCAGAACUGACGAUCAGGCACGAAAGCGUGGGGAGCAAACAGG